rnacentral:rRNA from 1 species
UGGUGGAGUGAUUUUUGAUUCCGUCAACGAAGGAGACCUUAACUUGCUAAAAUGGUCACACGCAACUGCGGCAACUUCUCAGAGGGACUUUGCUUGCCCAGCGUGAGGAAGUUCAAGGCAACAACA